GCGACCCCAGGACGGGCGAGGCCACCCGCCGAGUUUAAGCAUAUCAAUAAGCGGAGGAGAAGA
rnacentral:rRNA from 1 species